rnacentral:snRNA from 1 species
AUGCUCGCCUCCGCAGCACAUAUACUAAACUUGGAACGAUACAGAGAAGAUUAGCAUGGCCCCUCAUAAAGGAUGACCAUAAAUUAGUGAAGUGUUCCAUAUUAAA